rnacentral:rRNA from 1 species
UGAGGAAUAUUGGUCAAUGGGCGCAAGCCUGAACCAGCCAAGUCGCGUGAGGGAAGACGGUCCUAUGGAUUGUAAACCUCUUUUGUCGGGGAGCAAAGCGCGGUACGAGUACCGUGAAGGAGAGUACCCGAAGAAAAAGCAUCGGCUAACUCCGUGCC